UGGGCUGGAAUUUGGCCAUUUGGGGGUGAAAUUGGGGAAUUUUCGGGUGAAAUUCAGAAAUUUGGGGAUGAAAUUUGGGGAUUUUGGGAUGAAAUUUGGGGAUUUUGGGGGUGAAAUUUGGGGAUUUUUGGUGGAAUUUGAAGAUUUUGGGGUGAAAUUCAGGGAAUUGGGAUGAAAUGUGGAGAUUUUGAGGUGAAAUGUGGAGAUUUUUGGGGUGACAUUUGGAGAUUUUAGGGUGAAAUUCGGGGAUUUGGGGUGAAAUUUUGGGAUUUUGGGGUGAAAUUUUGGAAUUUUGGGGUGACAUUUUUGGGAUUUUGGGAGAAAUUUGCGGAUUUUAGGUCAAAAUUGGCGGAUUUUGCUCCAAGCACAAAGACACGAAGCCCCCGAGGGUCGUUUUUAAUCCUUUGGGGAGGGGUUUGAAGCCACAGAGGUGCCCCAGAUGCCACCAAGGUGUCCCCAGAUGUCCCCAGGUGCCACCCAGAUGUCCCCAGAUGCCACCCAGGUGUCCCCAGGCACCCCCGAGUGCCACCAAUGUGUCCCCAGAAGCUACCAGGUGUCCCCAGAUGCCACUUGGAUGUCCCCAGGUGCCACCCAGAUGUCCCCAGAUGCCACUCGGAUGUCCUCAAGUGCCACCAAGGUGUCCCCAGAUGCCACCCAGGUGUCCCUAAGUGCUCCCAGGUGUCCCCAGAUAUCCCUCAGAUGUCCCCAAGUGCCACCAAGGUGUCCCCAGAAGCCACCAAGGUGUCCCCAGAUGCCACUCAGAUGUCCCCAAGUGCCACUAAGCUGUCCCCAGGUGCCACCCAGGUGUCCUUAAGUGUUCCCAGGGGGGACAGCGAGGGGACAGAGAGGGACCCAGAUGUCCCCAGAUGCCACCAAGGUCCCCAAGUGCCACUCAGAUGUCCCCAGAUGCCACCCGUGCCCCGCUGUCACCUGAGCUGUGUCUCGGUGCCGAUGGCCGCGGGUGCUACCCCAAUGUCCCCAGGUGCCCCCCUGAUGUCCCCAAG
rnacentral:lncRNA from 1 species